rnacentral:hammerhead_ribozyme from 1 species
GUACUGCUGAGGAGUCCCAUAAUAGAACGAAACGGCCGUUCAGUGC